rnacentral:rRNA from 1 species
CCUACGGGAGGCAGCAGUGGGGGAUAUUGCACAAUGGGGGGAACCCUGAUGCAGCGCCGCCGCGGGGGUGAAGAAGCGCCCCGGCGCGGAAAGCCCUGUCAGCAGGGAAGAAAAUGACGGUACCUGAAGAAGAAGCCCCGGCUAACUACGUGCCAGCAGCCGCGGUAAUACGUAGGGGGCAAGCGUUAUCCGGAUUUACUGGGUGUAAAGGGGGCGCAGACGGCGAUGCAAGCCAGGAGUGAAAGCCCGGGGCCCAACCCCGGGACUGCUCUUGGAACUGCGUGGCUGGAGUGCAGGAGGGGCAGGCGGAAUUCCUGGUGUAGCGGUGAAAUGCGUAGAUAUCAGGAGGAACACCGGUGGCGAAGGCGGCCUGCUGGACUGCAACUGACGUUGAGGCCCGAAAGCGUGGGGAGCAAACAGGAUUAGAUACCCGAGUAGUC